AGGGAAUAUUGCGCAAUGGACGGAAGUCGGACGCAGCGACGCCGCGUGAGCGAUGAAGGUCUUCGGAUCGUAAAGCUCUGUCCUUGGGGAAGAAGGCGAAAGCUUGACGGUACCCAAGAAGAAAGCCCCGGCUAACUACGUGCCAGCAGCCGCGGUAAUACGUAGGGGGCGAGCGUUGUCCGGAAUUACUGGGCGUAAAGGGUGCGUAGGCGGCCCUUUAAGUCGGAUGUGAAAGCCCGCGGCUUAACCGCGGAAUGGCAUUCGAAACUGGAGGGCUUGAGUGUCGGAGAGGGUAGUGGAAUUCCCAGUGUAGCGGUGAAAUGCGUAGAUAUUGGGAGGAACACCAGUGGCGAAGGCGACUACCUGGACGAUAACUGACGCUGAGGCACGAAAGCUAGGGGAGCAAAC
rnacentral:rRNA from 1 species